CAAAAUUUUUAUGUACUAAAUUAUUAAAUUAUAACUUAUUUUAAUUGCAUAAGCUAUAUUACAAGCUAACUCUAACAAAAAUUUUAGUAAAAUUCCGAGAAUCUCUAUCACAAAUCUUUUAUCUUCGACAAUGUUAAUAUUUCUAAUAAUCAUAAAAUCUAGGAAUAAACUUUUCUAUUUCAUAAAAACAAGUCAAAAUGAAUCUUGAUCAUCUCUACAAUAGCAUAAUGAUGCCGCCACCACCACCAGCUCUGCUACUGCAGCUAUCAUCUGCUGUAACAUUCAAAAUAUCCACCAGCGACAGCAGCACCUACAACCGUUUUGGUAAUUUCCUCUCUAGUUUUAGAGGUCCACAGAUUUUCUUUCUCACUCUUAUUGGUUGGAAGGGAAGAAAGAAGAUCAUCCAUUCCAUCAAUUAGGGCCCACAAUUUUGUUUUUCAUUGGUGUAGGAAAGUGGAACAUAAAUUAUAUUUUAAUAGUAAAUUUUAAAAUUCCAUUCUUUAGUUUGAAUAAAAUAUGGACAAAGAAAAUAUGCAAUCAAUAAGGGUAUAUUAGUAAUUACACAUUGGAUCAUUGAUAAAAUUCCAUCCAUUCUAUCCUCCUUCCCUCCUUACCAAUCCUUCCUAUUUUCUUUCCUCUCAACCAAACAGAGCAUUAACAAAAGAACCUAUAAACAGCUUUUAGAGGCCAACAGUUUUUCCUUUAAGCUCUUAAACACACCCCAAAUAAGCAUUUCACUUGCACCUAUUUUAUUUUAUUUUAUUUUUCAAAUCCAGCAAACCCAUUUUCAUGCACAUAUUAACAAUUGACACCAUGCAUCCCUUCAAACCAAUUAAUUGCUGGGAAAGUAUGAUUUUGUAAACUAAUCUAAGCAACAAACACCUUUUUGAGAAAACAUUUCAAAGAUAACUACAAUCAAUGAUAAAAUUUACACUCUGGAAAAUCGGAACCUGUGAAAAUGUUAUACAAGAAAUGUUGACCAUAAUCAUACUCUCAAUGUUAUAAAUUGUAUGUGCAGAAUGUAAUAAUAGUAAUGAAGACAUUAACAAGGACAUGAUAAUUGAUAAAAACUCAUUGUUAUAACCCUUUUUUUUAUCCAGAAAAAAAUUGAAGCAUUUUGUAGAACCUU
rnacentral:misc_RNA from 1 species